CUCUUAUCAAGAGUGGUGGAGGGAAUAGGCCCUGUGAAGCCCGGCAACCUGGAAGUGAUUCAAAAGAUUACUCUUUCGGUGCUAAAUCCUACAGAUCAAAUCUGUGAUCUGGAAGAUAAGAG
rfam:Virgibacillus massiliensis genome assembly, contig: 000001